GUGAAGGUGAUGAAAAGGUAGGGGAUAUGCCUGGCUCCCUGUAUGCCGCUCGCAUGGCUGCCAACCCAAUGAACUCGAUCUCGUUGUUGGCCGCUGCGUACGGCGUGCGAGGUGCCAAGCAUGGCCCUCUUCCCUUCUCUCUUUCUCUCU
rnacentral:misc_RNA from 1 species